rnacentral:lncRNA from 1 species
AAUAAAUGAUAUAUAUAAAGAAAGUAUGUGUGUUACUAUUAUGGGUAUAUAUGGUGUAUGUAUGGCUAUUUCUUCCGUUUUUCAACUAAUACUUGAAUUAACUUCUUUUAAAUUAAUAAUUGGAUGUAAUAUUUGUAAAACAGUAGCUAUUUUAUUUUUUACAUUAUAUUUAUGUUUAUUGAAAAGUUCUAAAUAUUACUUGUAUUUUAUUUCGGGUAUACUUGGCUUAUUAAGUGGGUAUUUAUAUUCUGCUUGUACAAAGUACUCUUUACUUUUAUUGGAGAAUGUAAAUGGAUAUUUAAUAACAGGGGUAAGUUUUUGUGGUUUUUUUUUUUUUUUUGCUAACUUGCCGUUUUCUUAUUUUACAAUUAAAGCAGGGGAUGUAAAUACAUAUUAUAAAGCUAUUGGUUAUUCAUUAAGUUUUUUCAUAGUAUUAGAAAUUCUAAUUAUUUUAUACAUAAUAUAUGUACAAAUGACUUCUUUUUAUUUUAACGAGGAAAAGAAAAGAAUAGAAAAUUCGUUUUAUUCAGAUAGUAAUAAUAUUUUAAAAAAUAAGGAAUUAGAAACAGAAUAUAAAUAUGUAAAAAAAUGUUCUGGAAGCAUUAAUGAAACACAUAUAGAUGUAAAUGAAAUUGUUUCACCUGCUAAUGUUGAUAUUAAAAGUGUAGCUGAUAGUGGUAUUUAUAAAAAUAAUAACAAUGAUUACAAUCAUAUUAACACGCAUUAUAAUAUUCUUAACAAAACAAACAAAAAUAGAAAUACUAAUUUAAAAGAAAAACUUGUUUAUAUAAAAAAUAAACUAAAUUUCAAUAGCAUAACUUUAGGUAUAAAAUUAAUUAAAUAUUAUUAUAUUUGUUGUACUCCCAUAUGUUUUACAGUUUUUAUAACAUAUUUAGUUUAUCCCCAUCUAAUACCUAAUAUGCUAAAGAAGACAGAAUUUGAAAAAUAUUUUUAUAUUUUUUUAUACCAACUGAGCAAUCUCAUAUUUAGUAUGCUUAUGACAUUUUUAUUAAAACAGAUGCAGUUUUUAAAACAGCCAUAUGUUUUUAUAAUGAGUUUUUUAAGGUUGUUAUUAAUAUGGAUAUGUUAUAGUAUAAUAAACACUGUACAAACUAAUUUUAUAUAUUCAAAUGUGUUUGUAUCAUUUGUUGUAGUAUUAAUAGGAUCUACGAAUUCAAUAAUACGUAGCUUAAGUUUUGCACGUAUUCGUGAGUGUUUUGAAAAUAAUGAUAAAAGAGAUCAUUACGUUUCAGUUGCAUCUUCUUUUUGUGCAUUAUUAUACCUAUUUAGUUAUGCUUUAUCAUCUUGGUUUGUUCCCAUAAUUUUAAGCUUAUGA